GACGAACGCUGGCGGCGUGCCUAACACAUGCAAGUCGAGCGGGGUUGAAGCGAGGGGUAACUCGGACUUCUACCUAGCGGCGGACGGGUGAGUAACGCGUGGGCAACCUGCCUCAAGGUUUGGGAUAACAGCUCGAAAGGGCUGCUAAUACCGGAUAUGCCUGUGGCCUCGCAUGGGGCUAUGAGCAAAGGGGAAACCCGCCUUGAGAUGGGCCCGCGUCCCAUCAGCUAGUUGGUGAGGUGAAGGCUCACCAAGGCGACGACGGGUAGCCGGCCUGAGAGGGUGACCGGCCACACUGGGACUGAGACACGGCCCAGACUCCUACGGGGGGCAGCAGUGGGGGAUCUUGCACAAUGGGCGAAAGCCUGAUGCAGCGACGCCGCGUGAGCGAAGAAGGCCUCGGUUGUAAGCUCUGUCUGGAGGGACGGAAACAAAUAGACGGUACCUCCGGAGGAAGCCACGGCUAACUACGUG
rnacentral:rRNA from 1 species